GUCGAUGAUGACCUGGAGUCGAUAGGCGGUCGACAGCCGAAUAUGUGUCAGCAGUUGAUCGGUUUAAUCCAGAUCUCGUUGAUUACGAAAGAUUUAUUCAUAAAACUGAUAGUUACUUCGCUUUUAUUAGACCAAUCGGGACACGUGUCCGUAUUAUGUGGUAACUCUGUAUAACUUUGGGCUGAUCGUGCGAGCUCGUCCCAGCGAUGCAUCUUCCUAGUGUCUGCCUUAUCAAGUGGAUGGUAGAUUACGCGCCUACCAUGGUCGUAAGGGUGACAGUGAAUCAGGGUUUGAUUCCGAAGAGGGAGUCUGAGAAAUGGCUACCACAUCCAAGGAAGGCA
rnacentral:rRNA from 1 species